GUCUCGAGGUCUACCGGAAAGAAGUAACGGAGGGGGAACACAAUAAAUAACAGAGCAAUCAAAGCAUCAUAAGCAUAACAUGGCAAUACGCGGUGUUAGGGGUGACCUAACGCAGUACUAGGUGCUACUGGCGAAGGGGGAAAACAUCCGGGAAAGUAUUCCCGGUGUUUCGCUUUUUUGGGCAGAUGAACCGGAGGUGGAUUGUUACAUGGUCGAUAUGCUAGGGACGUGUGGCGGACGAACGGACUGCGUAUUCGGAUUCGUCUCGCUUUUCUGAGCAACUUUUAUGUAUAAAACUUUUUCAUCCGAGCUACGGAUUAUUUUAUAUGAUUUUCCAAAGAUUUAAAGAAUUUCUAAAAUUAUGGAUUUAUUUUAAUCCGAAAAUAAACAGUAAACAGAAAAGCUGGGUGCACCCGGUGUAGUGCACCCAACAGUGCACUCAGGCUGACAGUGGGCCCCGGGGCUACCGAGUUAGCCGCGAGCGGUUAACUAUUCAGAUGAUGAACAGUGCUGGAGGGGUCCGCAUGUCAUCACCAUUGGGGUUAGUUUAAAUUAAACAGUGUUUAAUUUAUGGGGGUUUCUACACAUCAGCGGCCAAUUAGCCUUAGUAUUAGUACCAAAAACUAAACUAAACAGGGGACAGAAGAGACGUGAAGCUUUUGUGGCCUGUAGAGUACACAUUAUUGCAUAUGGUUAUGGGCAUUUUUAUUUGUUUCUUUUUUACAACUAUUUUUGUGGGCUUUUAGUUGGGCAUUAAUGUGAUAAAAAUUUAAGGGACUAUGAAGCGGCUGGUGCAUUUCAAGUUCGAUGGGUUCAGCGUUCAGGCGUGACUUUCUACUGGGUUCAGAACACACUCGUACCCAUAUACACGUACAUGUAGAAAAAGAAGAUUGUUGGGUUCAGAUAUGGCUGUACGCUAGCUCCGCCGGCCAUGGAGCAGCAGCAGCAUAAAUACGCAGCGGCAAUAGAGGGAGCAUCAACAGGCCGCGAGAAGAAGCAGUGCAGCAACAGCGGAGAGCAGUAGUGGACAACGAGCAGCAGCAGUAGCGCAGCAACAACAGCGCAGCCGGGCGCGGUGGCUAGCGGGCGGGCGGCUGCGCGCGCCGGCAGAGGUGGGGACGGCGAGAGAGGCUGUAGUGGGGCAGCAGGGGUGGGCGCAAACGUGCAAGGGCGACGGGAGGAGGGGCGCCCAGGGCGAGCUAGUGACGAUCAGAGGGCACCGGGAGCUCAGCCAUGGCGUGCGUGGAGCGAAGCUCCGACCACGACGGCUAAGCUCGGGGGAGGGCACCUACGGCGAUGGAAUCGAUGGGGAAGAAGGGGGAAUCGAAGGAGGGUGUCGGUGUCAAAACCAGCGGAUCUCGGGUAGGGUGUCCCGAACUGUGCGUAUAAGGCGGAUGGUAACAGGAGGCAGGGGACACGAUGUUUUACCCAGGUUCGGGCUCCCUCUUGAUAGAGGUAAAACCCUAUGUCCUGCUUGAUUAAUAUUGAUGAUAUGGAUAGUACAAGAGUAGAUCUACCACGAGAUCAGAGAGGCUAAACCCUUGAAGCUAGCCUAUGGUAUGAUUGUAUGUUAUCGUGUCCUAUGGACUAAAACCCUCCGGUUUAUAUAGACACCGGAGGGGGCUAGGGUUACACAAGAUCGGUUACAAAGGAGGAGAUAUCCAUAUCCGUACUGCCUAGCUUGCCUUCCACGCCAAGUAGAGUCCCAUCCGGACACGAGACGAAGUCUUCAAUCUUGUAUCUUCAUAGUCCAACAGUCUGGCCAAAGGAUAUAAUCCGGCUGUCUGGAGACUCCUAAUCCCGGACUCCCUCAGUAGCCCCUGAACCAGGCUUCAAUGACGAUGAGUCCGGGGCGCAGUGUUGUCUUCGGCAUUGCAAGGCGGGUUCCUCCUCUGAACAUAUCACAGAAGAGUUUGAAUACCAGGAUAGUGUCCGACCCUGCAAAAUAAAUUCCACAUACCACCGUAGAAAGAACAAUAUUUCCAUAAAUCUUAAUCUGCUGACACGCUUUGGCAACAUGACGUCAGGCCAUGGCUCGGUGAUUAUUCGAACCGUUUUUCUUCAACCAGCUCCACACAUAAAGCGAGGCGGUUUCUUGACACGUCUUGUCAAAGCAGAGAUCGUGUUCCCCUAAUUACGGGAUUCUCAUCAAUACGGUCGUGGGUAACCCAACCGUGCCUAGGACUCCUAGAUUUUAGGCAAGUCCCAAACGGCCACUAGGAGGACGCUUGAUAUUCACCCUCUUUAUAAAGGGACAAGGCUUUUACUUUUUUCCCUCCCGUGCUCAAUGAAUCCUUCCCCCGCCUCGAGUUCUAACACCCAAAGCCCAGGUCAGGUGCUUUGGACCUUCAAUCAUGUUCGGAUCUAGCCUUCAAGGCCGGUGGAUGCCCUCCUCCAUUACGGAAGAGGAUAUCAAGAAGUUGAGGGAGGCCAGAUACCUGACCGCCGAGGUUUCGCAUCGGCUGCCUGCCCGAGGGUAGGUCGUCCCUACUGCCGAACACAACGAGAACAUUGUGUUCAUCUCCCACUUCCUCCGAGGCCUAGGCCUCACCCUGGAUCCCUUUGUUAGGGGUUUGAUGUUCUAUUACGGGCUAGAUUUCCACGAUCUAGCCCCGGACUCCUUUCUCCACGUCUCGACAUUUAUUGUCGUAUGUGAGGCCUUCCUCCGCAUUACCCCUCACUUCGGCCUGUGGCUCAAGACCUUUGACAUGAAGCCGAAGAUGGUCGAGGGGCAGCACGUAGCGUGCAGAGGCGCAUUAAUAAGUAAAAUCGCUGGAGCUCCAUGGCCAAAGGGUUCCUUUCCAGAGGUGUCCGGAUUAUGGCAGCGAGAGUGGUUCUACAUCACAGCUCCCAGAAGUGCCAAGUGGGUGGCCGCCCCUGCUUUUUGCUCGGGCCCUCCACCACAACUGAUCUCAUGGAUUAGCAGAGGGCUGAGAUGGGGUCCAGCCAAGGACGUGCCUAUACUGCAAAGCCGCGUUCAAGAUCUCUUCGACAGAGAUUUCAGUCUGGUUAUGGUGGUGCAAGUCAUGCUGGUUCGUCGAGUCCAGCCUUGCAAACGCCGGCCCCUCCGCGUGUGGGAGUUCAACCCAAAAGGGCCGCGCACUAUUCAGAAUUUCCUCGGCCUGACGCACGAGGAGAUGUACAAAUCAUUCUUCGGACCCCAAAUAGAGUGUACGGAUACUACCGAGGAUGUGGGCCUGAGCAGCAACCGUACCGCUGACCAAGGAAGUAAUCCUCUAGCCGAACACACCGUCCUUCAUUUACCAUGACGUCAUUCUGAAAAAUCGCACUUUGACCAGGACUGGCUAACAAAGGCGAAGAUGACUCGGUGUUCAGCCCACCUUCCUGAGGGUUUGGAGAAUCCGGUACUGGAAAAGAUGCUCGAGCUAGCACCUUGCCCGGAGGCCUCAAAGGAAGAUGAAGGGGGGAAUAAUGAGGUCGAAAGCGGGCCCCCAUCGCUACCAAUUCCAACCGAGGGAAGGAGCGCCUCCGUGAAGGAGGAUAACCAAGGGGAAGAAUCUGACCUUCUCUUGCUCCGGGGAAGGAAGAGGACCACCUCUGAAGAUCCGGAAACCAAGGCUUCCAAGCGGGAGAAGAAGUCUCCACCAGAGGGUCCUGCCUCGGAGGGUGCUUUUGCCGCACAAAGUCCGCGCGGGGAUCAGCCCUUUAACGAGCCGUAAGUGAUCAAAAAAUACUUAAUAGUAAAGAUAUUCUACCUUACUUCCGAGGAAAAUAACCGAAGUGUUUAUCUCGCAGUUCGGAUCUUAGCCCUUCUGAAACGCCUCCCCCGGACUCCCCCGCUCAAGAAGCAGGCGACCUUGAAGUGUCGUCAUGGAGGGCCUCUCCGGAUCCGGUGAGGCCAGAAGAUAAUCCUAUAGUCACCCGAAGUCCCCAGCAUCCUGCUCUUGAAGAGAGCAAACAAAAGAGUCCGACGCAGUCUGGUAUGCGGUCAGACGCACUGAGGGAUCUGCUAAGGCGGGCGACCAUCUCGGAAGAAUACCGUACAUUGAUGGGUACGGUGAUGGAAAGGAUUUUAUCCGCCAAAAGUGGGUUGCAUGACGCCUUUAUGAGUCUACUAACGGGCUUUGAGGUAAGUAAAAUGAUGUACAUUUGUGAUGGUACCGCACAUUUUUAGGUGUGCCCUGUGUAGAUAGUAGCCCCUAAGACUCUGGUUGUCGCGGAAAACGGCGGCAAACAGAGGAUUGUAGUCCCAGGUAAUAACCAUACAGCUUUAUGUGCAUGCGAUGGAAGCUCUGGUGACUGGCCGACCUAAUGAGUUUGCCGAACUAAAGCGGCAACUGGAUGCGGCAGAUGCCAACAUCGAGCUUGUUAACAAGCGGCUUGACGAGGCACAGGGUAAGUAAUGUUUUUCCGGUCAAUGUCACAUAGUAAGAGCAGCAUGAUGCCAGUGUCUUUAAUAUGUUGUGACUGCAGAUGGAGCUGCCGCCGUGAAGACCCUUCGGGCGGAACUUGCCCGAGCCAACGAACAAACAAGGAUUAGUAAUGCGGCCGCUUUAAACGCAGCCGAAGAGUUAAGAGCCGAGAAGGCUGCGCAUUGCGAGAGCAAAGAAAAGAUGGCCAAGAUGGCUGUAAAGUUAAAAGACACUGCCGACCGUUGUCGGUUCCUUGAAGAAGAAAACCGAGCGAAGGUGAUGGACCUCGAAAAGGCCACGAUGGCGGCUAAAGACACCCGCUCUGCCAUGAGGGCAAAGAAGGAAGAGCUGCGUGAAGCUGGUGAUAUUGUGGCUGGGAAGCCCUUUUUGCUGCGAAGGAAGUUCGGAGAUCUGCGGUAUGCCCCUCUAGAUCGGCUAUGGAGUUCGGAAGACACAUAUCUGGAUUUGACGACGAGUGCUGUCGAUGUGGCCGAAUACUUCCGAGAUCAAACAGAUCGUGAUGUGGACAAGCUAUUCUGGUCGCAAUUUAACGUUCCAGAGCGUCCUCUUCCACUAACUGAUCAACUUGCCGAAUGGGCCAAACUCAAUAGAUUGUCCGGACUCGCCAUGAGGUCCGUCGUAGAUCAUCUGUGGCCGGAAAAGCCGAAGUCGAACAGCUAUUUUAGCUUAGUGCAGCAGUUCCUUGGUGCGGUGCCGCGCAUCAAUGUGAUGAAGAGGUCGUUGUGCAUAGAAGGCUCGCAGAUGGCCCUUGCCCUUGUCAAAGCAUACUGGGCGGAGAUGGAUGCUACCACUGUUGCGGCGCAGGGUUGGGCCAUAGGCCGAGUGGCUGCCGAGCAGUAUUUUGAAGAAGUUCUUGAGGGUGCUCGUUUGAUAGAGGCCUAGUGCUCGAAGAAUAUUAUGUUUGAGUGACAUGUAUUCCCAUUGUAAAAACAAUGUUUACCAAAUUUAUUAAGGCUGUAUUUAUACUUUUGCCUGAAAGUAAUAUGAUGCCUCCCGUGCGGCUGUUUAUAUAUAUAUGUAUAUAACCUGAAAGAUUGCAGUCGUCGACUUCAUCCCCCACACAUAUAAUGCAGGGGUGUUCGCAGAAGACGCCUGUUCACACGUAAUCCAACGUCUUGGUCCUAAUAAGGAGGUGAUAGUGCAGCGAACGAGGCAACCGGACUAUAAUGCUUUAACACUUUCACUUAGCCAUAGGAGUUUGACGGUGGGGCUACUAUACAGCCCCUGGUGGCUCCGCACUCUCCCGAAUUCGGGGUGCGUACAUGCCUGGCCUAGAAACGACCCUUCAUUAAGGGGGAGGAAUUCUAACAUUCCGAUGGGUCAUCGAGUGGUUGACCAGUCUCACGCUAUAUCAUGACAGUCAGUUUUCGGCUUUCUCUACUGAGGUGCUCGUCCGGAUGACCCGGGGCACAAUCGCAGUAGUUCUCCUGGUGCCACCUUAGCCGAUAGAGCGGAACGUAAGGCAGUAAAACACAGGAGCCGGGCAAACCCAACAUUUGACCAAAGACAUGAUUCAGAGCUGAUGCAUAUAAGGCCAAACUCGCGACGCCGAACACUCCCUAAGGUAUUCGGUCUUUUAUGGUAUAAACCGGGCCUAAACAGUGCCCUUUGUAAGAAGCCCCUGGUGUCCAGGUACGUGCAUUAUUCUGACGUGGCCACAUGCCAAGACGUCAGCAUUCUUCUCAAUAGUACUGAGAAUCCGAGGGAUGUUAUCAACAAGAGACAGUAAGAAAGGUUUACGCAGGGUCUUAAUCUAAAAAGAAUCCUUGGAAUGGGUCCCUGCUGCACGUCUGUGCCUGUGUCUCCGUUGUGCCGUAUCCUGGACUGGUGUAGCACGAUGGUCAUCUAUAAAAGAGAGGAACUUAGGUGAAAAGUUAUCGUGCAAAAAGGUAGGUUAUAUUAAAGAAACCAUGUACAAUUCAAGAUGAGUAAAAAUUGCCACUUGUCUGCGCGCGUUGAGCCCUUUGUAUUUGCAAUAGGGGUGUGGCCAUCAAACCUGUAUGAAUUACAUAUAGCUACGUCGGACUCGUCUAACCGUGUCCAUAGUCUUGACGACCUAUCGAAUGCUUUAGCUGGUAAGGCCGUUUUAGUGUGCGGCUGCCAAGGCAGCCGCACUCUCUUCAGUGCGCAGGGAUCGCUCAAUAUUUCCAUUUACUGUAAUAAUGCCACGUGGACCGGGCAUCUUAAUCGUGAGGGAAGCGUAAUGCGGUAUUGCAUUAAAGCGAGGGAAAGCUUCGCGUCCAAGUAGUUCUUGAUAGCCACUUUGGAACGGAGCAAUGUGGAAGGUUAUAUUUUCACUACGGAAGUUAUCGGGAGAGCCGAAUAUAACCUCUAGUAGCAGGGAGCCCAUGCAAUGAGCCCCUGGGUCGGGCGUUACUCCUUUAAAGGUAGUAUUGCUAUGGCAAAUUUUCGUUGGGUCUAUCCCCAUUUUGCGGAUUGUAUCCUGAUAUAUCAGGUUUAGACUGCUGCCACCGUCCAUCAUGACUCGUGUGAAGUGGUAUCCGUCAAUUAUUGGAUCUAAUACCAAGGCAGCCCAUCCUGCACGCCGGAUACUUGUGGAGUAAUCUCGAUGAUCGAAGGUGAUCAGUUGAGACAACUAGUGGCAGGACUCCGCGGUGAUAGGCCCUUGGGCAUAUUUCUCUGGGAGUGCCACUUUGUUUCUCCCCUUGAUCACGUGUAACACGUGUACUAUUUUGACCUCUGGUGGAAAUUUCUUUUGUUCCCCAGUGUCUUGCUUGAGAGGCUCAUCCUCGUCUUCGCUUGGUGUAUCCUCCCCCUUGUGUACGGCGUUGAGCUUGCCGGACUGCUUGAAGACCCAACAUUCUCUGUGGGCAUGAUUUGCAGGUUUAUCGGGGCUGCUAUGGAUCUGACAUAUUUGGUCCGUAAUUUUGUUUAGGCUGGACAAUUCAUCUUUGGCACCUUUAGAGGGCGGCUUUUGCUAACCUGGACGAGAGCUUUUGAAUCCGGCGUUUACCGUCGUGCUCUUCGGGCUGUCUUCUUUAUUCCGGCGCUUAUUAUUUUUGCUGCGUCGUGAUUUCCCGUUUCCAUCUAUAACUUCAGAUGUACUUGGGUCACUGGUGCUGCAUCGGGCUAGCCAGCUGUCCUCACCCGCGCAAAAGCAGGUCAUGAGGCUUGUUAAUGCUGGCAUUGUUCUCGGCUUUUCUUGGCUGAGGUUUCUGGCCAGCCAUUCGUCUCAAACGCUCUGUUUAAAAGCUGCCAAGGCUUCGGCGUCCGGACAGUCGACUAUUUGGUUCUUUUUAGUAAGAAAUCUGUUCCAAAGCUUUCGGGCUGACUCUCCGGGCUGUUGAGUUAUAUGACUUAAAUCGUCCGCAUCCGGAGGUCGGACAUAAGUCCCUUGAAAAUUUGCCCAAAAAGCAUCUUCAAGCUCUUCCCAGCUUCCAAUGGAGCUUUUGGGGAGGAUUUUGAGCUAGUGUCGAGCUGGCCCUUUGAGCUUGAGGGGUAAGUACUUGAUGGCAUGGAGAUCAUCUCCUCGAGCCAUAUGGAUAUGGAGGAUAUAGUCCUCAAUCCAGACCCCAGGGUCUGUUGUUCCGUUGUAUGCCUCUAUGUUUACAGGUUUGAAUCCCUCUGGAAAUUCAUGGUCCAGCACCUCGUCGGUGAAACAUAGGGGGUGUGUGGCACCCUUGUAUCUGGGUGUACCAUGAUGUUCAGAUGUUUGUUGUGUUGCAUUGUAUGCUUGGUCCAUUGAUGGAUCUGGUUGCGCCGUCCUUUUGAUGUGAGCCCUCGCGUGGAUCGCGUAUUGGCUUAUGUGCGGCAUUGUUUGCCGCUCUAUGUUGGCCGUGCUGUCGUCUAUCCGGCCAGAUGGCCGUUUUAAUUUUUGGUUGCGGGGGAUCUAAGGCCUCCUCAUUGAAUUCAGGUAGCAACUUCUGAAGGAAAUAUGCCCUAGAGGCAAUAAUAAAGUUAUUAUUUAUUUCCUUAUAUCAUGAUAAAUGUUUAUUAUUCAUGCAAGAAUUGUAUUAACCGGAAACAUAAUACAUGUGUGAAUACAUAGACAAACAGAGUGUCACUAGUAUGCCUCUACUUGACUAGCUCGUUAAUCAAAGAUGGUUAUGUUUCCUGACCAUGAACAAUGAGUUGUUAUUUGAUUAACGAGGUCACAUCAUUAGUUGAAUGAUCUGAUUGACAUGACCCAUUUCAUUAGCUUAGCACCUGAUCGUUUAGUAUGUUGCUAUUGCUUUCUUCAUGACUUAUACAUGUUCCUAUAACUAUGAGAUUAUGCAACUCCCGUUUACCGGAGGAACACUUUGGGUACUACCAAACGUCACAACGUAACUGGGUGAUUAUAAAGGAGUACUACAGGUGUCUCCAAUGGUCGAUGUUGGGUUGGCAUAUUUCGAGAUUAGGAUUUGUCACUCCGAUUGUCGGAGAGGUAUCUCUGGGCCCUCUCGGUAAUACACAUCACAUAAGCCUUGCAAGCAUUACAACUAAUAUGUUAGCUGUGAGAUGAUGUAUUACGGAACGAGUAAAGAGACUUGCCGGUAACGAGAUUGAACUAGGUAUUGGAUACCGACGAUCGAAUCUCGGACAAGUAACAUACCGAUGACAAAGGGAACAACGUAUGUUGUUAUGCGGUCUGACCGCUAAAGAUCUUCGUAGAAUAUGUAGGAGCCAAUAUGGGCAUCCAGGUCCCGCUAUUGGUUAUUGACCAGAGACGUGUCUCGGUCAUGUCUACAUUGUUCUCGAACCCGUAGGGUCCGCACGCUUAAGGUUACGAUGACAGUUAUAUUAUGAGUUUAUGCAUUUUGAUGUACCGAAGGUUGUUCGGAGUCCCGGAUGUGAUCACGGACAUGACGAGGAGUCUCGAAAUGGUCGAGACAUAAAGAUUGAUAUAUUGGAAGCCUAUGUUUGGACAUCGGAAGUGUUCCGGGUGAAAUCGGGAUUUUACCGGGUUACCGGGAGGUUACCGGAACCCCCCGGGAGCCAUAUGGGCCAUCAUGGGCCUUAGUGGAAAGGAGAAAGGGGCAGCCCAAGGGGGCUGCGCGCCUCCCCCCUUCCCCUAGUCCUAUUAGGACUAGGAGAGGUGGCCGGCCACCCCUCUCCCUCUUUCCCCCUUGGGAAUCCUAGUUGGAAUAGGAUUGGGGGGGGGGGGAGUCCUACUCCCGGUAGGAGUAGGACUCCUCCUGCGCCUCUCCCUCUUGGCCGGCGCACCCUCCCCCCUUGGCUCCUUUAUAUACGGAGGCAGGGGCACCUCUAAACACACAAGUUGACACAAGUUGAUCCACGUGAUCGAUUCCUUAGCCGUGUGCGGUGCCCCCUGCCACCAUAUUCCUCGAUAAUACCGUAGCGGAGUUUAGGCGAAGCCCUGCUGCUGUAGUUCAUCAAGAUCGUCACCACGCCGUCGUGCUGACGGAACUCUUCCCCGACACUUUGCUGGAUCGGAGUCCGGGGAUCGUCAUCGAGCUGAACGUGUGCUCGAACUCGGAGGUGCCGUAGUUUCGGUGCUUGAUCGGUUGGAUCGUGAAGACGUACGACUACUUCCUCUACGUCGUGUCAUCGCUUCCGCAGUCGGUCUGCAUUGGGUACGUAGACAACACUCUCCCCUCGUUGCUAUGCAUCACAUGAUCUUGCGUGUGCGUAGGAAAUUUUUUGAAAUUACUACGAAACCCAACAGUGGCAUCCGAGCCAGGUUUUAUAUGUUGAUGUUAUAUGCACGAGUAGAACACAAGUAAGUUGUGGACGAUACAAGUCAUACUGCCUACCAGCAUGUCAUACUUUGGUUCGGCGGUAUUGUUGGACGAGACGACCCGGACCAACCUUACGCGUACGCUUACGCGAGACCGGUUCCCUCGACGUGCUUUGCACAGAGAUGGCUUGCGGGCGACUGUCUCUCCAACUUUAGUUGAACCAAGUAUGGCUACGCCCGGUCCUUGCGAAGGUUAAAACGGAGUCUAUUUGACAAACUAUCGUUGUGGUUUUGAUGCGUAGGUGAGAUUGGUUCUUACUUAAGCCCGUAGCAGCCACGUAAAACAUGCAACAACAAAGUAGAGGACGUCUAACUUGUUUUUGCAGGGCAUGUUGUGAUGUGAUAUGGUCAAGGCAUGAUGCUGAAUUUUAUUGUAUGAGAUGAUCAUGUUUUGUAACCAAGUUAUCGGCAACUGGCAGGAGCCAUAUGGUUGUCGCUUUAUUGUAUGCAAUGCAAUCGCGAUGUAAUGCUUUACUUUAUUACUAAAAGGUAGUGAUAGUCGUGGAAGCAUAAGAUUGGCGAGACGACAACGAUGCUACGAUGGAGAUCAAGGUGUCGCGCCGGUGACGAUGGUGAUCAUGACGGUGCUUCGGAGAUGGAGAUCACAAGCACAAGAUGAUGAUGGCCAUAUCAUGUCACAUAUUCUGAUUGCAUAUGAUGUUUAUCUUUUAUACAUCUUAUUUUGCUUAGUUUGACGGUAGCAUUUUAAGAUGAUCUCUCACUAAAUUAUCAAGAAGUGUUCUCCCUGAGUAUGCACCGUUGCGAAAGUUCUUCGUGCUGAGACACCACGUGAUGAUCGGGUGUGAUAGGCUCUACGUUCAAAUACAACGGGUGCAAAACAGUUGCACAUGCGGAAUACUCAGGUUAUACUUGACGAGCCUAGCAUAUACAGAUAUGGCCUCGGAACACGGAGACCGAAAGGUCGAGCGUGAAUCAUAUAGUAGAUAUGAUCAACAUAGUGAUGUUCACCAUUGAAACUACUCCAUCUCACGUGAUGAUCGGACAUGGUUUAGUUGAUUUGGAUCACGUGAUCACUUAGAGGAUUAGAGGGAUGUCUGUCUAAGUGGGAGUUCUUAAGUAAUAUGAUUAAAUUGAACUUAAAUUUAUCAUGAACUUAGUCCUGGUAGUCUUUUGCAAAUCAUGUUGUAGAUCAAUAGCUCGCGUUGUUGCUUCCCUGUGUUUAUUUUGAUAUGUUCCUAGAGAAAAUUAUGUUGAAAGAUGUUAGUAGCAAUGAUGCGGAUUGGAUCCGUGAUCUGAGGUUUAUCCUCAUUGCUGCACAGAAGAAUUAUGUCCUUGAUGCACCGCUAGGUGACGGACCUAUUGCAGGAGCAGAUGCAGACGUUAUGAACGUUUGGCUAGCUCAAUAUGAUGACUACUUGAUAGUUUAAGUGCACCAUGCUUAACGGCUUAGAAUCGGGACUUCAAAGAUGUUUUGAACAUCAUGGACCAUAUGAGAUGUUCCAGUAAUUGAAGUUAAUAUUUCAAGCAAAUACCCGAGUUGAGAGAUGUGAAGUCUCCAACAAGUUCUAUAGCUAAAAGAUGGAGGAGAAUCGCUCAACUAGUGAGCAUGUGCUCAGAUUGUCUGGGUACUUCAAUUGCUUGAAUCAAGUGGGAGUUAAUCUUCCAGAUAAGAUAGUGAUUGACAGAAUUCUCUAGUCACCAUCACUAAGUUACUGAACUUCAUGAUGAACUAUAGUAUGCAAGGGAUGACGAAAACGAUUCCCGAGCUCUUCGUGAUAUUGAAAUCGACGAAGGUAGAAAUCAAGAAAGAGCAUCAAGUGUUGAUGAUUGCCAAGACCACUAGUUUCAAGAAAAGGGCAAAGGGAAGAAGGGGAACUUCAAGAAGAACAGCAAGCAAGUUGCUGCUCAAGUGAAGAAGCCCAAGUCUGGUCCUAAGCCUGAGACUAAGUGCUUCUACUGCAAAGGGACUGGUCACUGGAAGCGGAUCUACCCCAAGUGAUUGGCAGAUAAGAAGGAUGGCAAAGUGAACAUAAGUAUAUUUGAUAUACAUGUUAUUGAUGUGUACUUUACUAGUGUUUAUAGCAAACCCUAAGUAUUUGAUACUAGUUCAGUUGCUAAGAUUAGUAACUCGAAACGGGAGUUGCAGAAUAAACAGAGACUAGUUGAGGGUGAAGUGACGAUGUGUGUUGGAAGUGGUUCCAAGAUUGAUAUGAUCAUCGUCGCACACUCCCUAUACUUUCGGGAUUAGUGUUGAACCUGAAUAAAUGUUAUUUGGUGUUGGCGUUGAGCAUGAAUAUGAUUUGAUCAUGUUUAUUGUAAUACGGUUAUUCAUUUAAGUAAGAGAAUAAAUUGUUGUUCUGUUUACAUGAAUGAAACCUUAUAUGGUUACACACCCAAUGAAAAUAGUUCGUUGGAUCUCGAUCAUAGUGAUACACAUAAUCAUAAUAUUGAAACCAAAAGAUGCAAAGUUAAUAAUGAUAAGUGCAACUUGUUUGUAGCACUGCCGUUUAGGUCAUAUUUUUGUAAAGCGCAUGAAGAAACUCCAUACUGAUGGGCUUUUGGAAUCACUUGAUUAUGAAUCAGUUGAUGCUUGCGAACCAUGCCUCAUGGGCAAGAUGACUAAAAACUCUGUUCUUCGGAACAAUGGAGUGAGCAAUAGAUUUGUUAAAAAUCAUACAUACUGAUGUAUGUAGUCCGAUGAAUAUUGAGGCUCGCGACAGGUAUCAUUAUUUUCUGAUCUUCACAGAUGAUUUGAGCAGAUAUGAGUAUAUCUACUUGAUGAAACAUAAGUCUGAAACAUUUGAAAAGUUCAAAGAAUUUCAGAGUGAAGUGAAAAAUCAUCGUAACAAGAAAAUAAAGUUUCUACGAUCUGAUCGUAGAGAUGAGUAUUUGAGUUACGAGUUUGGCCUUCAGUUAAAAACAAUGUGAAAUAGUUUCACUACUCAUGCCACCUAGAACACCACAAUAUAAUGGUGUGUCCGAACGUCAUAACCGUACUUUAUUAGAUAUGGUGCGAUCUAUGAUGUGUCUUACCGAUCUACCACUAUCGUUUUAGGGUUAUGCAUUAGAGACAGCUGCAUUCACGUUAAAUAGGGCACCAUCUAAAUCCGUUGAGACGACACCGUGUGAACUAUGGUUUGGCAAGAAACCUAAGCUGUCGUUUCUUAAAUUUGGGGUUGCGAUGCUUAUAUGAAAAAGUUUCAUCCUGAUAAGCUCAAACUCAAAUCGGAGAAGUGCGUCUUCAUAGGAUACCCAAAGGAGACAAUUGGGUACACCUUCUAUCAUAGAUCCGAAGGCAAGACAUUCGUUGCUAAGAAUGGAUCAUUUCUGGAGAAGGAGUUUCUCUCGAAAGAAGUGAGUGGGAGGAAAGUAGAACUUGACGAGGUAACUGUACCUGCUCCCCUACUGGAGAGUAGUUCAUCACAGAAAACUGUUUCAGUGACACCUACACCGGUUAGUGAGGAAGUUAAUGAUGAUGAUCAUCAAACUUCAGAUCAAGUUACUACCAAACCUCGUAGGUCUUCCAGAGUAAGAUCCGCACCAGAGUGGUACGGUAAUCAUGUUCUGGAAGUCAUGUUACUAGACCAUGAUGAACCUACGAGCUAUGAGGAAGCAAUGAUGAGCCCAGAUUCCACGAAAUGGCUUGAGGCCAUGAAAUCUGAGAUAUGAUCCAUGUAUGAGAACAAAGUGUAGACUUUGAUUGACUUGCCCGAUGAUCGGUGAGUCAUUAAGAAUAAAUGGAUCUUCAAGAGGAAGACGGACGUUGAUAGUAGUGUUACUAUCUACAAAGCUAGACUUGUCGAAAAAGGUUUUUGACAAAGUUCAAGGUGUUGAAUACGAUGAGAUUUUCUUACUCGUAUCGAUGCUUAAAAGUCUGUCCGAAUCAUGUUAGCAAUUGCCGCAUUUUAUGAUUAUGAAAUUUGGCAGAUGGAUGUCAAAACUGCAUUCCUGAAUGGAUUUCUGGAAGAAGAGUUGUAUAUGAUGCAACCGGAAGGUUUUGUCGAUCCAAAGGGAGCUAACAAAGUGUGCAAGCUCCAGCGAUCCAUUUAUGGACUGGUGCAAGAAUCUCGGAGUUGGAAUAUACGCUUUGAUAAGUUGAUCAAAGUAUAUAGUUAUUGUACAGACUUACAGUGAAGCCUGUAUUUACAAGAAAGUGAGUGGGAGCACUACAACAUUUCUGAUAAGUAUAUGUGAAUGACAUAUUGUUGAUCGGAAAUAAUGUAGAAUUAUUCUGCAAAGCAUGAAAGGAUACUUGAAUAAAAGUUUUUCAAAGAAAGACCUUGGUGAAGCUGCUUACACAUUGAGCAUCAAGAUCUAUAUAGAUAGAUGAAGACGCUUGAUAAGAUUUUUUCAAUAAAUACAUACCUUGAUAAAUUUUUGAAAUAGUUCAAAAUGGAACAGUCAAAGAAGGAGUUCUUGCCUGUGUUGCAAGGUGUUAAGUUGAGUAAGACUCAAAGCCCGACCACGGCAGAAAAUAGAAAGAGAAUGAAAGUCAUUCCCUAUGCCUCAGUCAUAGGUUCUAUAAAGUAUGCCAUGCUGUAUACCAGAUCUAUUGUAUGUCAUACCACUGAGUUUGGCAAGGGAGUACAAUAGUGAUCUAGGAGUAGAUCACUGGAGAGCGGUCAAAAUUGUCCUUAGUGGAAUAAGGAUAUGUUUCUCGAUUAUGGAAAAAGGUUCGUCGUAAAAGGUUACGCCGAUGCAAGUUUGACACUAAUCUAGAUGACUCUAAGUCUUGAUCUAGAUACAUAUUGAAAGUGGGAGCAAUUAGCUAGAGUAGCUCCGUGCAGAGCAUUGUAGACAUAGAAUUCGCAAAAUACUUACGGAUCUGUAUAUGACAUACCCGUUGACUAAGAUUCUCUCACAAGCAAAACAUGAUCACACCUUAGUACUCCUUGGGUGUUAAUCACAUAGCGAUGUGAACUAGAUUACUGAAUCUAGUAAACCCUUUGGGUGUUGGUCACAUAGAGAUGUGAACUAUGGGUGUUAAUCACAUGGUGAUGUGAACUAUUGCUGUUAAAUCACAUGGCGAUGUGAACUAGAUUAUUGACUCUAGUGCAAGUGGGAGACUGAAGGAAAUAUGCCCUAGAGGCAAUAAUAAAGUUAUUAUUUAUUUCCUUAUAUCAUGAUAAAUGUUUAUUAUUCAUGCUAGAAUUGUAUUAACCGGAAACAUAAUACAUGUGUGAAUACAUAGACAAACAGAGUGUCACUAGUAUGCCUCUACUUGACUAGCUCGUUAAUCAAAGAUGGUUAUGUUUCCUGACCAUGAACAAUGAGUUGUUAUUUGAUUAACGAGGUCACAUCAUUAGUUGAAUGAUCUGAUUGACAUGACCCAUUUCAUUAGCUUAGCACCUGAUCGUUUAGUAUGUUGCUAUUGCUUUCUUCAUGACUUAUACAUGUUCCUAUAACUAUGAGAUUAUGCAACUCCCGUUUACCGGAGGAACACUUUGGGUACUACCAAACGUCACAACGUAACUGGGUGAUUAUAAAGGAGUACUACAGGUGUCUCCAAUGGUCGAUGUUGGGUUGGCGUAUUUCGAGAUUAGGAUUUGUCACUCCGAUUGUCGGAGAGGUAUCUCUGGGCCCUCUCGGUAAUACACAUCACAUAAGCCUUGCAAGCAUUACAACUAAUAUGUUAGUUGUGAGAUGAUGUAUUAUGGAACGAGUAAAGAGACUUGCCGGUAACGAGAUUGAACUAGGUAUUGGAUACCGACGAUCGAAUCUCGGACAAGUAACAUACCGAUGACAAAGGGAACAAUGUAUGUUGUUAUGCGGUCUGACCGAUAAAGAUCUUCGUAGAAUAUGUAGGAGCCAAUAUGGGCAUCCAGGUCCCGCUAUUGGUUAUUGACCAGAGACGUGUCUCGGUCAUGUCUACAUUGUUCUCGAACCCGUAGGGUCCGCACGCUUAAGGUUACGAUGACAGUUAUAUUAUGAGUUUAUGCAUUUUGAUGUACCGAAGGUUGUUCGGAGUCCCGGAUGUGAUCACGGACAUGACGAGGUGUCUCGAAAUGGUCGAGACAUAAAGAUUGAUAUAUUGGAAGCCUAUGUUUGGACAUCGGAAGUGUUCCGGGUGAAAUCGGGAUUUUACCGGGUUACCGGGAGGUUAUCGGAACCCCCCGGGAGCCAUAUGGGCCAUCAUGGGCCUUAGUGGAAAGGAGAAAGGGGCAGCCCAAGGGGGCUGCGCGCCUCCCCCCUUCCCCUAGUCCUAUUAGGACUAGGAGAGGUGGCCGGCCACCCCUCUCCCUCUUUCCCCCUUGGGAAUCCUAGUUGGAAUAGGAUUGGGGGGGGGAGUCCUACUCCCGGUAGGAGUAGGACUCCUCCUGCGCCUCUCCCUCUUGGCCGGCGCACCCUCCCCCCUUGGCUCCUUUAUAUACGGAGGCAGGGGCACCUCUAAACACACAAGUUGACACAAGUUGAUCCACGUGAUCGAUUCCUUAGCCGUGUGCGGUGCCCCCUGCCACCAUAUUCCUCGAUAAUACCGUAGCGGAGUUUAGGCGAAGCCCUGCUGCUGUAGUUCAUCAAGAUCGUCACCACGCCGUCGUGCUGACGGAACUCUUCCCCGACACUUUGCUGGAUCGGAGUCCGGGGAUCGUCAUCGAGCUGAACGUGUGCUCGAACUCGGAGGUGCCGUAGUUUCGGUGCUUGAUCGGUUGGAUCGUGAAGACGUACGACUACUUCCUCUACGUCGUGUCAUCGCUUCCGCAGUCGGUCUGCGUUGGGUACGUAGACAACACUCUCCCCUCGUUGCUAUGCAUCACAUGAUCUUGCGUGUGCGUAGGAAAUUUUUUGAAAUUACUACGAAACCCAACAACUUCUGCUUCGGGUAGCUCUUGGUGGGGCGAUUACCGCCGUACUUCGCUGCUGUGUUGAGUACUUUACUCCAUCUGAUUCUGAGUGUGUCUUGCGCAGACUUGAGCCUUUUCUUCUGCUUUUUUAGACUCCUCAUGGUGGCAACAAGCCUUUGACGGGCAUUCUGUUGCUCCGGGUGUCCGUCCAGUGUGAUGUCAUCUGGACUAUUAUCUUUGAUAGAGUCGGGUUGUUCGGUUUGAUUCUCCGUGUUGCCAUGGUCCGGCGAUUGUUCACCCUGCUCUAAGGCUGGGUCUAUAUGAUCGUUGUUUCUGCCGAGGCGGGAUUUGGAGCGGCGCUUACGCCGCCGCUUUGACUGCUUAUCGAGGGGACAACCCUCUGUUGCGUCCUUCCAUUCCUCGUCGUCGUCUUCUUUUGGUGUGUCCACCAUGUAUACGUCAUGUGAUAAAGUGGGCGUCCAGUGCCCUGUGGGCAGUGGUUCCUGUUCGCCUCCUGCAUCGUCGUCCAUACCGUCGAUGUCUUCGGAGUCGAAGUCGAGCAUGUCGGUUAAGUCAUCGACAGUAGCUACUGAGUGGGUGGUGGGUGGGCAGCGAAUUUCUUCAUCAUCCGCAUCCCAAUCCUGUCGGACAUAGUUCGGCCAGGACUCUCCUGACAAGGAGAGAGACUUUAAUGAAUUCAGUACGUCGCCGAAGGGCGAGUGCUGAAAGAUAUUCGCGGAGGUGAACUCCAUGAUUGGCGCCCAGUCCGAUUUGAUAGGCACGGGUGCAGGAGGUUCGGAGUCCGUGGCCGGGGAAGGAUCCAGCAGUUUGGCAACACUGCUCUCGUGAAGGAUAAGGUCGAUAUUCGGCUCGAUCGCCGCUGAGGGUAAGGCCUCCAUGGCGGGGUCCAUCCACCCGUCCAUGGACGGCGCAACUGGCUCCGAAUUGAGGGUCGGAGCGGCUGCCGGUGCGAUCUUCUAAACACUGUCUAAUGGUAGAGCUAAAUCGUACUCAUCGUGACCGCGCGAUGCACAAGGCAGAGGCUCGAAUCCGUCGAAGAUCAAGUCUCCGCGGAUAUCAGCCAUGUAUUUUAAGCUUCCAAACCUGACCUGGUGGCCAGGGGCAUAACUUUCGAUCUGCUCCAGAUGGCCAAGCGAGUUGGCCCGUAGUGCAAAGCCGCCGAAUACAAAAAUCUGUCCGGGGAGAAAGUCUCACCCUGGGCUGCAUCGUUAUCAAUGAUCAUAGGAGCCAUCAAGCCUAACGGCGACGACAUAGAGGAACUCUCAAUGAAAGCACCAAUGUCGGUGUCAAAACCGGCGGAUCUCGGGUAGGGGGUCCCGAACUAUGCGUCUAAGGCGGAUGGUAACAGGAGGCAGGGGACAUGAUGUUUUACCCAGGUUCAGGCCCUCAUGAUGGAGGUAAAACCCUACGUCCUGCUUGAUUAAUAUUGAUGAUAUGGAUAGUACAAGAGUAGAUCUACCACGAGAUUAGAGAGGCUAAACCCUAGAAGCUAGCCUAUGGUAUGAUUGUAUGUUAUCGUGUCCUACGGACUAAAAUCCUCUGGUUUAUAUAGACACUGGAGGGGGCUAGGGUUACACAAGGUCGGUUACAAAGGAGGAGAUAUCCAUAUCCGUACUUCCUAGCUUGCCUUCCACGCCAAGUAGAGUCCCAUCUGGACACGAGACGAAGUCUUCAAUCUUGUAUCUUCAUAGUCCAACAGUCCGACCAAAGGAUAUAAUCCGGCUGUCCGGAGACCCCUAAUCCCGGACUCCCUCAGAGGGCCUUACCACCGUCGCAUAGAAGGGGACGACGAGGUUGGGGACGCAUUGAAGGCGGCGGAUCGACCGCCGGUGGCCGCGGAUGCAGUCGGGGAGGAAUGAUGAAAACAGCGGCGAUGCGGCGUCCCGACUUGAUCCACUUGAUGAUGAAGAAGAAGUCUUCCAUGGUGAAGCUCCCGGACACGCUAGAUCAGCACGGAGGCAACGAUGGUCGCAACGACGACAUGGCGGCGGACGAGCUCGGGAUCGAGCAAUUGGAGAGGGAG
rnacentral:lncRNA from 1 species